rnacentral:rRNA from 1 species
UCCACGAGUUCCGUGCCGCAGCAAACGCAUUAAGUGCCCCGCCUGGGGAGUACGGCCGCAAGGCUAAAACUCAAAGGAAUUGACGGGGGCCCGCACAAGCGGCGGAGCAUGCGGAUUAAUUCGAUGCAACGCGAAGAACCUUACCAAGGCUUGACAUACACCGGAAACAUCCAGAGAUGGGUGCCCCGCAAGGUCGGUGUACAGGUGGUGCAUGGUUGUCGUCAGCUCGUGUCGUGAGAUGUUGGGUUAAGUCCCGCAACGAGCGCAACCCUCGUCCUAUGUUGCCAGCACGUCAUGGUGGGGACUCAUAGGAGACUGCCGGGGUCAACUCGGAGGAAGGUGGGGAUGACGUCAAAUCAUCAUGCCCCUUAUGUCUUGGGCUUCACGCAUGCUACAAUGGCCGGUACAAAGGGCUGCGAUACCGCGAGGUGGAGCGAAUCCCAAAAAGCCGGUCUCAGUUCGGAUUGGGGUCUGCAACUCGACCCCAUGAAGUCGGAGUCGCUAGUAAUCGCAGAUCAGCAACGCUGCGGUGAAUACGUUCCCGGGCCUUGUACACACCGCCCGUCAAGUCACGAAAGUCGGUAACACCCGAAGCCAGU